UACGUAGGGUGCGAGCGUUAAUCGGAAUUACUGGGCGUAAAGCGUGCACAGGCGGUUGUGCAAGACAGAUGUGAAAUCCCCGGGCUUAACCUGGGAACUGCAUUUGUGACUGCACGGCUAGAGUGUGUCAGAGGGGGGUAGAAUUCCACGUGUAGCAGUGAAAUGCGUAGAUAUGUGGAGGAAUACCGAUGGCGAAGGCAGCCCCCUGGGAUAACACUGACGCUCAUGCACGAAAGCGUGGGGAGCAAACAGG
rnacentral:rRNA from 1 species